UAGCUGGAAGGCCUUCCCAGGAAUGCAAGUCUGAACCAUCUAGAGUUCUCUCAGCCAGAAUGAAGGCUCAGCUCUUGGAUGUUUCUACCAUAAAAAUGAGAAAGCAUUUCCUACCUCCUCCUCUGUCACUCCACAAAGAUGUGCUUCCUGUGUGGCUGGCUAGCAGAUAAGAGAAGGCCCUUGCUAAGUCCUCACACGUUCUUUCCUCUGCACAGGACCGUGUGCUAACUCCUCAUCAAAGACCAGAAGUAGAUCCUGAAUUGUAUUCAUUCUCAUCUCUUUCUACCUCCUCCAAGACAGAAGGACAUGAUUAACUUCUUUAUCUCAAUGUCAGCCUUCAAUAGCUACAAAAGUCUAAACUGUAAAUAGCGUUGAAGCUUUGCAUAAUAAAAUUCUUUUCCCCAGUGAUGGGCAGUUUUUCACAUAGUAAC
rnacentral:lncRNA from 10 species